UGGGUGACAGAGUGAGACCAUCUCCAAAAA
rnacentral:piRNA from 1 species